AUCUCUAUUCUCUCAGAAGGUGUUUAUACGGUAAACUCGUGUCCGUAUCUCUAUUCUCUCAGAAGGUGUUUAUACGGUAAACUCGUGUCCGUAUCUAUUCUCUCAGAAGGUGUUUAUACGGUAAACUCGUGUCCGUAUCUCUAUUCUCUCAGAAGGUGUUUAUACGGUAAACUCGUGUCCGUAUCUCUAUUCUCUCAGAAGGUGUUUAUACGGUAAACUCGUGUCCGUAUCUCUAUUCUCUCAGAAGGUGUUUAUACGGUAAACUCGUGUCCGUAUCUCUAUUCUCUCAGAAGGUGUUUAUACGGUAAACUCGUGUCCGUAUCUCUAUUCUCUCAGAAGGUGUUUAUACGGUAAACUCGUGUCCGUAUCUCUAUUCUCUCAGAAGGUG